rnacentral:rRNA from 1 species
UACGUAGGGACCAAGCGUUGUUCGGAUUUACUGGGCGUAAAGGGCGCGUAGGCGGCGCGGUAAGUCACUUGUGAAAUCUCUGAGCUUAACUCAGAACGGCCAAGUGAUACUGCAGUGCUAGAGUGUGGAAGGGGCAAUCGGAAUUCUUGGUGUAGCGGUGAAAUGCGUAGAUAUCAAGAGGAACACCUGAGGUGAAGACGGGUUGCUGGGCCAACACUGACGUGAGGCGCGAAAGCCAGGGGAGCAAACGGG